ACAGACGUAUUCAUCGGUUGGCCGGGACGGUCACAUGACGCUCGAGUGCUUGCAAACUCUGAUCUGUACCGGGUAGCAGAGGACAAGCAAGGGGGCUACCUUUUUCCAAGAGAGAAAUCAAAAUUUGUGGAUGGAGUGGAGAUCCCGGUACACAUAAUUGGUGAUGCCGCCUACCCGUUACGACGAUGGCUCAUGAAGGGGUUCACCCAACAUGUCCAGCUGAGCUCCAAUCAAAUUACUUAUACGCACA